rnacentral:misc_RNA from 1 species
AAGUCGUAACAAGGUUUCCGUAGGUGAACCUGCGGAAGGAUCAUUAUUGAACAAUCAAACCAAUGUAGACUGUGCUGAAGCUGGCCUUUCGAGGCAUGUGCACGCCAGUUUGCAAUUGUUCUCCAUCCACCUGUGAACAUUUUGUAGACUCAUAAGGCGUCAAAACACCUGCAAGGGUGUUGUGAGGGGGAAACCCUUCAGCGACUUGUAGUCUAUGUUUUAUAAACUCGAACGAAUGUCAUAGAAUGUCUUGUUAUAUUCAAACACAAUAUAACUUUCAGCAACGGAUCUCUUGGCUCUC